rnacentral:rRNA from 1 species
GAUGAACGCUAGCGGCAGGCCUAAUACAUGCAAGGCGAGGGGCAGCAGGAAUAGCAAUAUUUGCUGGCGACCGGCGCACGGGUGCGUAACACGUAUACAAUCUGCCUUCUACAGGGGGAUAGCCUUUCGAAAGAGAGAUUAAUACCUCAUAACACAAGAAAUAGCAUUAUUUUUUGUUGAAAGAUCAGUCGGUAGAAGAUGAGUAUGCGGGUGAUUAGCUAGUUGGUGAGGUAACGGCUCACCAAGGCAACGAUGACUAGGGGAGCUGAGAGGACUACCCCCCACACUGGUACUGAGACACGGACCAGACUCCUACGGGAGGCAGGAGUAAGGAAUAUUGGACGAUGGAGUCAACUCUGAUCCAGCGAUGCCGCGUGCAGGAUGAAGGCCCUAUGGGUCGUAAACUGCUUUUGUAGGAGAGAAAACCUAUUUACGUGUAGAUAAUUGAUAGUAUCGUAAGAAUAAGGAUCGGCUAACUUCGUGCCAGCAGCCGCGGUAAAAC